rnacentral:rRNA from 1 species
UACGGAGGGUGCAAGCGUUAAUCGGAAUUACUGGGCGUAAAGCGUGCGCAGGCGGUUUGUUAAGUCCGUUGUGAAAUCCCCGAGCUCAACUUGGGGAUUGCAAUGGAUACUGGCAAGCUGGAGUAUGGUAGAGGAAGGUGGAAUUCCCGGUGUAGCAGUGAAAUGCGUAGAGAUCGGGAGGAACACCAGUGGCGAAGGCGGCCUUCUGGACCAAUACUGACGCUCAUGCACGAAAGCGUGGGGAGCAAACAGG